rnacentral:rRNA from 1 species
AUUGAACGCUGGCGGCAUGCCUUACACAUGCAAGUCGAACGGCAGCACGGGAGCAAUCCUGGUGGCGAGUGGCGAACGGGAGAGUAGUACAUCGGAACGUGCCUAGUAGUGGGGGAUAGCCCGGCGAAAGCCGGAUUAAUACCGCAUACGACCUGAGGGUGAAAGCGGGGGAUCGCAAGACCUCGCGCUAUCAGAGCGGCCGAUGCCAGAUUAGGUAGUUGGUGGGGUAAAAGCCUACCAAGCCGACGAUCUGUAGCUGGUCUGAGAGGACGACCAGCCACACUGGGACUGAGACACGGCCCAGACUCCUACGGGAGGCAGCAGUGGGGAAUUUUGGACAAUGGGCGCAAGCCUGAUCCAGCCAUGCCGCGUGCAGGAAGAAGGCCUUCGGGUUGUAAACUGCUUUUGUCAGGGAAGAAAAGUUCUGGGCUAAUACCCCGGAGCGAUGACGGUACCUGAAGAAUAAGCACCGGCUAACUACGUGCCAGCCGCCGCGGUAA